GGCGGCAUGCCUUACACAUGCAAGUCGAACGGCAGCACGGGGGUAACCCUGGUGGCGAGUGGCGAACGGGUGAGUAAUACAUCGGAACGUGUCCUGUAGUGGGGGAUAGCCCGGCGAAAGCCGGAUUAAUACCGCAUACGAUCUACGGAAGAAAGCGGGGGAUCCUUCGGGACCUCGCGCUAUAGGGGCGGCCGAUGGCAGAUUANCUAGUUGGUGGGGUNAAGGCCUACCAAGGCGACGAUCUGUAGCUGGUCUGAGAGGACGACCAGCCACACUGGGACUGAGACACGGCCCAGACUCCUACGGGAGGCAGCAGUGGGGAAUUUUGGACAAUGGGGGAAACCCUGAUCCAGCAAUGCCGCGUGUGUGAANAANGCCUUCGGGUUGUNAAACACUUUUGUCCGGAAAGAAAACUUCUGCCCUAAUAC
rnacentral:rRNA from 1 species